rnacentral:lncRNA from 1 species
CCCGAAAAGAGGUAAUGGUAUUCUCAUCUUCAAGAUAAUCUUGUUUGCUAUACCCUUGAGCUCUUGGAAGUUUGAUCUUCGAUUGGUCAUUAUCGGAGUUUUCUUUGGAAGGUCGAGCCCUAUCUUCCCCUAUUGUUUUUGUUGGAUUUCUUCUGAUUUUUUGAUGUCAACUGUCACCACUAGCCGUCAACUAGAUGACCUCCAUCAGCACUA